CAACCAUCAAGCAUGGCUUGUCGUUGGACUCUUGUUGCUGUAACACGCGACAAGUCCGAAAGAUAAUGACGGGUGUCGUGUUAGACCCUAGAUGCAACGAGCUUUUUAUAGCACGCAUUGAAGUGGUCGGCCGACCCGGUCUUUAACCAUCAUUUUCUAAGGUUGACCUCGGAUCAGGUAGGAAUACCCGCUGAACUUAA
rnacentral:misc_RNA from 1 species